rnacentral:lncRNA from 1 species
GCAUAUGUGCAUCAGGAUUGGGCCCACCCACCCCUACUGCUUAGAGACUUACAUUCAUAUUAUAUGAAAAGCUGUUUUUUAGUACUUAUGUCCUGUUAAGUUCAUAAAAUUAAGUUAAAAUUAAGUUCAUAAAAUGAGUUUAAAGGGCCAGGCAACAUACAUAGAGCAAGUCUGUCCCUGAACCUUACCCAAAGAAGGAAAACUAUUUCUAGUAUAUUUGGGGUUUUCUGUUUAGUUUGAUUAUGACAACUUUGGAGUAAGAAGACAUUUUUAAAACUCUCAUCUUCAUAUUAGGUAUGCUGUUGCCUUCCUUUGGCAUAAAUCACACUAAUGUUUGGAUUUACAUACAAGUCUCUCUUGCUUUACGUAAACACAU